AAGCGGAGGUGGUGGUGGAAGCAAAGAGAGUUAGAUGAUGGCUGUGGUGAGGACUAUGUAAAGUGUAAACAUGUGUCACUUAUCUUUGCUUAUUUUACAGUUGGAGGAAAUGCCGAAAUUGUAUGUACCAAGAAAAUAUACAUGUAUCUGUUUUUAUACUUGUUUUAAUGUCUACAGUGUUCGAUAAAGAUACCCUGAU